rnacentral:lncRNA from 1 species
UUCGGUUGGCGUUGUUGGAGUUUGGUUGGCGCUGUUGAAGGUUGAUGAUUAGUUAUUAUAGAAAUCUAGCUACUAGAGCUCGUCCGUUGUAGAAGUUCACCUGGAACCCAUUCACUGUGGGAGUUCGGAUGGAGUCCAGUUCUUGUAGAAGUCCGGGGGGAGAUCGCUUGUUGUAGAAGAUCGACUGAAGUCCGCCUGUAAU